GACGAACGCUGGCGGCGUGCUUAACACAUGCAAGUCGAACGGAAACGCCCUGCUUUUGUGGGGUGCUCGAGUGGCGAACGCGUGCGUAACAGGUAAGUAACCUGCCCUCGACUUUGGGAUAACUUCAGGAAACUGAGGCUACUACCGGAUAGGGGCCCCUGCUGCAUGGUGGGGGGUGGAACGUUUCGGCGGUUGGGGUUGGACUGGCGGCUUAUCAGCUUGUUGGUGGGGGAGUGGCAUCCCCAGGCAGAGACUGAUCGGCGGCCGGAGAGGGUGACCGGCCACAUUGGGACUACGGUACGGCCCAGACUCCUACGGGAGGCAGCAGUGGGGAAUAUGGCACAAUGGGAGCAAGCCGGAUACAGCAACGUUGCGGGUGGGAUGACGGCCUGCUGGUUGAAAACCGCUGUAGGCUGUGACGAUGCGGUACUGACGGUAACGGAUAAAGAAGCACCGGCUAACUACGUG
rnacentral:rRNA from 1 species